rnacentral:lncRNA from 1 species
AUGCUAAGAGAGGCCUUCAGAAUAAACUGGGUGAGGCGGCUAGCAAGCUCAGGGGGUCGCGCCUGGCGGGGACCCCACGCUGCAGCGCCCGGCGCCGCCCGCACAGCCCCCGAGGGCGCGGCCGGCCGGGAGCGCAGCGCACGCUGGUGCGCGAGCGCCGGGGCCGCAGCCUCUGCAGCGGCAACUGUGCAAACCCACAACAAACCUUUCCCACCGCCGCUGUCACGCGCCCCGUGGGAAGGGGGCGACGCGCCCCGCUGGGGUCAGGAGAAACUGCGGAGAGGAAGAGUGAGGGCAGGCGCGGAGGAGACGUCUUCCCCCGCACAGCUCAUCGCCCCGAGGCUGCCCCCCGGGGGCGGCCACUCCCCACGCACCGCGGGUCCCGGCUGCUUGGAGCGUAAACACUGUCGGACCGAAGCCGCCCCCGCAAGCCCGGGGGUCCAGGAGGCUGGAGCGACCCCGGCCUUGCAACAGGCACGGAGUCCCGCGCAGCGCCGACAGGCACCGCGCAGCCUGCAGAGCCCGCGCCGGGACGGGUGCUGGGCUCGUAGGGGCGUCCGGGCACGGGCUGCAGCGCCGCAGGGUCGGCCGGCACGUACCUCGGAGGCGGUGUGUCAAGCGGAGAUCCACCCGCCGCCCGCUGGAGGAAAGCGGAGGAAAGUUUCCCCGCCCAGCGCUCGGCGGCGGCGAGCUCAGGCAGCUGCUGCGCCGCGGCGCAACUACGCCAUCCGGACCCGCCGGGGACUUUCACCUCCUGCAGGGAGCUCCGGGAAUCGCGCAGGGAAAGUGGCUGGGCACGGGAGCCGCCGACUUCCCUCCCUCACUCACUGGGAAGAGGAAAGCGCCGCUCCGCGUCCCCGAAACCCUCGAUUACCCCCAUCGGGCCGACCCAGCGCACCCGCUCUGCCUCACACGCGGGCGGGGACGGGCAGGGCGCCACAGCAAUCAGCGCGCGGGGGGAAGGGCGCUCCUCCUCCGCGUCCCCACCGAGGGCUCCGGGCCGCCGAGAAACUCCUCCUCCCGCCGCCCGCCUCCUCUCUCCUCCCCCUUUUCCUCCCGGGCCGAUGGAUGAGCCCCGAGCGCUGCUCGAGCCAGCGUUUCCCUUCGGACCGAGGAGGGAGGAAGAGAAGGAGCGCGCGGAACCGCCGGGCUGCUGCGCGCCCGGGUUGGGGCGGCGGAUGGGGGUCCCAGUCCUCGGAGAAGAGCGCGGGGGUCGCAGGCGCGGGCUGUAGGGAUUCGCUCCUUCAAACGAGGUCCUCUGAACUUUCCAGGGCUCUCUGGAGGAGUGGGAUUUUUAUUUGGUUCCCUCUGUCUUGCUACAAAAGUUCUAAAACCUUCAGUAAUCUGAUCACCCCCCUCAUGCCCACUCCCUAG